rnacentral:pre_miRNA from 1 species
GUUGGUGAGUGAUUGAAGCUGCUAGAUGACCUGAUUGAACCCAAAUCUUAGAAGCUAACUUCAUUUUUGACAAAGGUUAAUCGGUCAACUUUAAUUUGGUCGAGUCAAAAUCAAAUCCCAGGAGAUCAAGAACUCAAACAAUCAACAUCAAUAUCAUGGAUCAAGGGUGGAGGAUUGGUUGGAUUUCUGUUAAAUGGUUGUGAGAAUUCAAGAAAAGAAGAAUAUAGAUUUGUUUCUUACCAGAUCAUGCUGGCAGCUUCAACCUCUCAAACC